AAUGAACGCUGGCGGCAGGCCUAACACAUGCAAGUCGAACGAGGUAGCAAUACCUAGUGGCGGACGGGUGAGUAACACGUGGAACGUACCCUUUGCUACGGAAUAGCCCUGGGAAACUGGGAGUAAUACCGUAUGAGCCCGAGAGGGGAAAGAUUUAUCGGCAAAGGAUCGGCCCGCGUUGGAUUAGGUAGUUGGUGGGGUAAAUGGCCUACCAAGCCGACGAUCCAUAGCUGGUUUGAGAGGAUGAUCAGCCACACUGGGACUGAGACACGGCCCAGACUCCUACGGGAGGCAGCAGUGGGGAAUCUUAGACAAUGGGGGAAACCCUGAUCUAGCCAUGCCGCGUGAUCGAUGAAGGCCUUAGGGUUGUAAAGAUCUUUCAGGUGGGAAGAUAAUGACUGUACCACCAGAAGAAGCCCCGGCUAACUCCGUGCCAGCAGCCGCGGUAAU
rnacentral:rRNA from 1 species